UACAGAGGUCUCAAGCGUUGUUCGGAUUCAUUGGGCGUAAAGGGUGCGUAGGUGGCGCCGUAAGUCGGGUGUGAAAUUUCGGAGCUUAACUCCGAAACUGCAUUCGAUACUGCGGUGCUUGAGGACUGGAGAGGAGACUGGAAUUCAUGGUGUAGCAGUGAAAUGCGUAGAGAUCAUGAGGAAGACCAGUGGCGAAGGCGGGUCUCUGGACAGUUCCUGACGCUGAGGCGCGAAGGCCAGGGAGCGAAACGGG
rnacentral:rRNA from 1 species